CUGCAUGAGAUCCAAGAACCCUCUCCUGGGGUCUCGAUACAGUCAUGGGAAACCUGAAUCUGAUAAACUGAUAUUCUUUUGUAAUACUGUUUAGCCCCAAUAUUUGCCCCACAAGCCACAAAAACCAGCAAGUUUUUAUUAGGGAUUUUCAAAAGGGGAGGGAGUGUGCGAAUAGGUGUGGGUGACAGACAUCAAGUACUUAACACGGUAAUAGAAUAUCACAAGGCAAGUGGAGACAGGGCGAGAUCACAGGACCACAGCUCCGAGGCGAAAUUAAAAUUGCUAAUGAAGUUUCGGGCACCAUUGUCAUGGGUAACAUCUUAUCAGGAGACAGGGUUUUGAGAUCAACCGGUCUGACCAAAAUUUAUUAGGCGGGAAUUUCCUCUUCCUAAUAAGCCUGGGAACGCUAUGGGAGACUGCAGUU
rnacentral:lncRNA from 1 species